UCACGGCUCCGAGUCGGAUAGAAAAACGCUUCUUAAAAUUCAAACAUCAUAACAAAAAACUCUUAAAUUAUUUUUUCUUAUAAAAUUUUAAAAAUUCAUGCAAAUUUUACCAAAAUUGUCAACAAAAAAAAGAUACUCGUACUUUGAAAACGGGUCAAAAAAGUAGUACCUUUGAAAUUGAAUAUAGAUAAAAAUAGUAUAUAUUGAUGGUUAUAACUAUGAUACAAAUAUGUAACAAUAGAAACUCAUUUUUAAUUUAAAAUAAGCAACUCAUAUCGUUACUACAUUUCAAUAUUGAAAACACAUUGUUCUUCAAUAUAGAAUAUAUAUAUAUACUAUUAAAUCACACAUAUAAUCUUUAAAUCUACUUCGAAUAAAUACCACACUUUGAUAUAUUUUUGAAAAACAUAAAUUUGUAAGAUUUGAAACAAAAGAUAAAAGUAGUUUUCCAAUCAAUAUUGGAUCAAUAGGUGAAAAAACAAAUCCGCACUUAAAAGUGCGGGUCAAAAUCUAGUUUUUUUUUUAAUAUUCUAGUUUGAUUUUAAUUUGGUAUAUUUAUUUUCUUAUUGUUCUACGUUUUUUAUUUAUAAUUUUGUAUUUUCUAUAUUUUGGUUUAUUAUUUGAGUUUAUGAUUAUUCGUCAAAGCACAAAAAAUCGUUUGUAAUUUAUGAACUAGCAAAAUUAAAAAAUUAAAAAAAUAUAUUGUAUGUGACCAGUUUAAAAUUCAUUGUUUAAUAAUAUGACAUUGCAUUAAAAAUUUAUCAAUUGAAGUGAAGAUUUAUCAUUUUAAUCAUAUUUUCAAUCUAAACACUAAAAUAUAUUUUUAAACACAUAAACAUGAAUUCAAUGAAAACUGCUUAAUAUUUUAUAAAAUUCAUUGUAAACAGCUUAUUUGAUUUUUUUUGUGAAGGUAUUAUUAAAUAGAAAUCAUGUUUUUGGCGGAGUAACAAACAUUAUAGGUAUUAAGACCAACUAGAUGAUUCUAUUACAUAUUAUAACUGUUUCCUCGAAAAAAAUUGUAAUCAAUGAGUUAUUUGAAGUUUUCUUCAUUAUAUACUUUAUAAUAUUCAUUUAGAAGGUUUCUUAGGUUUACAGUAAGACGAUCAUAAGAAUACACACAAUCUCUCUCCCUCUAGAAUGUCAAAGAUGGGUUUUUAUUACCAAUUUCAUGUUGCAUACUCAUAACAUAUUUAUUCUUUUUGCUCUCUGCCUUGGAAGCAUAAGGCGCUUUCUCCUAUGUUACACAUUCAAACAACAAAAAAAUCUGUAGUUUUCUUCUUCCUUCCUAUUAUUUGAAGUAUGAAGAAAUCGAAAUCAAAUACAAGUGAGAGAAGUUCUGAAGAUAUUAGAUUCAUAAAACGGAAAAAGAAACCUAUGAUAGGUGCUCCUAACCGGGGCCAGCUUAACAUAACCAGAGGCCCCAAGGCAGAAAUUUUUUUUGGGUCCCCUAACUAGUCGGUUUUAAAAAUAUUAUGUUCCUUUGACUUUUCAACUCAGGCAUAGCAUCAUUUAAGAAUUUGUAUUUGAUUUUCUAGUUAAAAAAAUCUGUAAUAUUAUGUUUUUAUACUAUCCAAAUCUAAACAAAACAUGCUAAAAAAAAAGAAUGAAAGCCCUUAACAUAACAUGAUUUGAAGCAGGCAUGGGAUGGUCGCAUUAACCGCCAUCCCUCAUAAGACGGCCCAGCUCAUCGCUUUAGCGUUCGAUUUUGCCUCUGGCCAUGUCGAGAAGAGACGGCGGCGGCAAAAGUCAGAGGUAAAAAAACUGAAGAUUAUAGUUUUUUCGUUUGUUUUUUAUUGCUAUUAAUAUAUUGAAGGGUAUUAUUGUCUUUUGACCUGUUAAUAAAAGUUAUAUUUCUGAUAUUUAGUUUAAGAUACUAUUUUGGAAUGAAAAUUGAAAAAAGGUAUUGACUAGAAUUGCCCUUUUAAAUAAAAAUUACUGUAUUAUAUUAUAGAUAUUGCCUUUUUGAUAAUAAGAUAAUUUGGAAAUAAAUAUAAACAAAAAGUUAAUAAAAUAUAUUAAUAAUGAUAUUUUAAUAAUAAAAUUAACUCAAAUUGUAGUUAUCUAUAAGAAUCAAUACGAAAGUGACACAUAAGAUACUGACUUAUCAUAUAAUAUUAUACAGAUUUUUGAAAAUAAAGUUAGUCAAAACAAAUUUAGUUGCAGAUCUUUUCCAUUGACUACUACACGAAAGACAUACCAAUAAUUUGAAAUAUAUAUAUAUAUAUAUAUAUGUUUAUAUGUAUUGUUUUGAUCAUCAUAUAACAAAGGCAAACUUUUUGUGAAAAGAAUUAAUCAUCACAAUGUCGUCUUCCAGUUGCGCUAUCUUUUGCAUCAUCUUCGUUUUGCUUUUUGGUUGUCUUGCAAGUAGAAACAUGGAGGGCCUUGAGGAAAGCAAGAUAGAUUUACCAACGUGCUUUCCAUCAACUUGUCUACCAGGAGACUUUAAAUGUUAUUGCUGCAAUCUUGUAAAGGAGAUCAGAUUCUGUACACUUACCUACGAUACGUGUGCGGAGGACUGUCAGCCCAAAGCAUAAUUAAUCAAGCAACCUCCUUCAAAGAUUCAAGAAUUAUGAAGAGCAUUAAAUACAUGUGUUCUUUGUAAAAUGUGUUCUUUAAAAAAAAAAAUGUGUUCUUUGUGAGUCUGUAUGAUUAAUAAAAAUAUAAGUGACUCCAAUACUUAUGCCUA